rnacentral:rRNA from 1 species
AUUGAACGCUGGCGGCAUGCCUUACACAUGCAAGUCGAACGGCAGCACGGGUGCUUGCACCUGGUGGCGAGUGGCGAACGGGUGAGUAAUACAUCGGAACAUGUCCUGUAGUGGGGGAUAGCCCGGCGAAAGCCGGAUUAAUACCGCAUACGAUCUACGGAUGAAAGCGGGGGCCCUUCGGGCCUCGCGCUAUAGGGUUAGCCGAUGGCUGAUUAGCUAGUUGGUGGGGUAAAGGCCUACCAAGGCGACGAUCAGUAGCUGGUCUGAGAGGACGACCAGCCACACUGGGACUGAGACACGGCCCAGACUCCUACGGGAGGCAGCAGUGGGGAAUUUUGGACAAUGGGGGAAAGCCUGAUCCAGCAAUGCCGCGUGUGUGAAGAAGGCCUUCGGGUGGUAAAGCACUUUUGUCCGGAAAGAAAUCCUUGGCCCUAAUACGGUCGGGGAAUGACGGUACCGGAAGAAUAAGCACCGGCUAACUACGUG